AUUAGUGGCGAACGGGUGAGUAAUACGUGAGUAACCUACCUUUAACUCUGGGAUAAGCCCGGGAAACUGGGUCUAAUACCGGAUACGACCAAUCUCCGCAUGGGGUGUUGGUGGAAAGCGUUAUGUAGUGGUUAUAGAUGGGCUCACGGCCUAUCAGCUUGUUGGUGAGGUAACGGCUCACCAAGGCGACGACGGGUAGCCGGCCUGAGAGGGUGACCGGUCACAUUGGGACUGAGAUACGGCCCAG
rnacentral:rRNA from 1 species